UACAGAGGUCUCAAGCGUUGUUCGGAUUCAUUGGGCGUAAAGGGUGCGUAGGCGGCGCGGUAAGUCGGGUGUGAAAUUUCGAGGCUUAACUCGAAACUGCAUUCGAUACUGCCGUGCUUGAGGACUGGAGAGGAGACUGGAAUUUACGGUGUAGCGGUGAAAUGCGUAGAUAUCGUAAGGAAGACCAGUGGCGAAGGCGGGUCUCUGGACAGUUCCUGACGCUGAGGCACGAAGGCCAGGGAGGCAAACGGG
rnacentral:rRNA from 1 species